UACGUAGGGUGCAAGCGUUGUCCGGAAUUAUUGGGCGUAAAGAGCUCGUAGGCGGUCUGUCGCGUCUGCUGUGAAAACUCAGGGCUUAACCCUGAGCUUGCAGUGGGUACGGGCAGACUAGAGUGCGGUAGGGGAGACUGGAAUUCCUGGUGUAGCGGUGAAAUGCGCAGAUAUCAGGAGGAACACCGGUGGCGAAGGCGGGUCUCUGGGCCGAUAUUGACGCUGGAGGAGCGAAAGC
rnacentral:rRNA from 1 species